rnacentral:rRNA from 1 species
AAUGGCUGCAGUAAUUUGACUGUACAAAGGUAGCAUAAUCAUUAGUUUUUUAAUUAAAAGCUUGUAUGAAAGGUUGAACGAAGAAAAAUCUGUCUCUUUUUAAUGUAAUUAGAAUUUAAUUUUUAAGUUAAAAAGCUUAAAUUUUUAUAAAAGACGAGAAGACCCUAUAGAGUUUUAUAAUUUUAAUUUAAUAAUUAAUUUAGAUUUAUUUAUAUUAUUAGUUUAAUAUUAUUUUAUUGGGGUAAUAAAAAGAUUUAAAUAAUUCUUUUUUUAUAAACCAUUUAUUUAUGAAUAUUUGAUCCAUUAUUUAUGAUUAUAAGAUUAAAUUACCUUAGGGAUAACAGCGUAAUUUUUUUUAAGAGUUCAUAUCGAUAAAAAAGUUUGCGACCUCGAUGUUGGAUUAAAGAUUAAUUUAGGUGUAGAAGUUUAAAUAUUUGGUCUGUUCGACCAUUAAAUCUUUACAUGAUCUGAGUUCAAACCGGUGUAAGCCAGGUUGGUUUCUAUCUUUAUUAAAAUUAUAUAUUUUAGUACGAAAGGACCAGAUAUAGAAUAUACAUAUAUUUUUUUAUUGAAUUA